rnacentral:rRNA from 1 species
GACGAACGCUGGCGGCGUGCUUAACACAUGCAAGUCGUACGGUAAGGCCCUUUCGGGGGUACACGAGUGGCGAACGGGUGAGUAACACGUGCGUAACCUGCCCACAACUUUGGGAUAACGCUAGGAAACUGGUGCUAAUACUGGAUAUGUGCUCCUGCUGCAUGGUGGGGGUUGGAAAGCUCCGGCGGUUGUGGAUGGACUCGCGGCCUAUCAGCUUGUUGGUGGGGUAGUGGCCUACCAAGGCGGCGACGGGUAGCCGGCCGGAGAGGGUGACCGGCCACAUUGGGACUGAGAUACGGCCCAGACUCCUACGGGAGGCAGCAGUGGGGAAGAUUGCACAAUGGGCGCAAGCCUGAUGCAGCAACGCCGCGUGCGGGAUGACGGCCUUCGGGUUGGAAACCGAUUUCAGCAGGGACGAAGCUUUUUGUGACGGUACCUGCAGAAGAAGCACCGGCUAACUACGUG